rnacentral:rRNA from 1 species
UACGUAGGGGGCAAGCGUUGUCCGGAUUUACUGGGUGUAAAGGGCGUGCAGCCGGGAGUGCAAGUCAGAUGUGAAAUCCCGCGGCUCAACCGCGGAACUGCAUUUGAAACUGUGCUUCUUGGGUGCUGGAGAGGCAGACGGAAUUCCUAGUGUAGCGGUGAAAUGCGUAGAUAUUAGGAAGAACACCAGUGGCGAAGGCGGCCUGCUGGACUGUAACUGACGUUGAGGCUCGAAAGCGUGGGGAGCAAACAGG